rnacentral:rRNA from 1 species
GAACGCAGCGAAAUGCGAUACGUAAUGUGAAUUGCAGAAUUCAGUGAAUCAUCGAAUCUUUGAACGCACCUUGCGCCCCUUGGCAUUCCGAGGGGCACACCCGUUUGAGUGUCGUGAAAUCCUCAAAAACCCUUUUCUCUUCGGCGAAAGGGGAUUUUUGUACUUGGAGGUUCAAUGCUCGCUUUCAGUUUUGAAAGUGAGCUCCUCUCAAAUGAAUUAGUGGGGUCUGCUUUGCUGAUCCUAUGACGUGAUAAGAUUUUUCUACGUUUUGGCAUUUGGCACUGUCCCUUGGACGCCUAGCUUCUAAUCGUCUCAUAGCACAAUGAUGAGUGCCCUGCUCACCGCCAUGUACCUUGGCGGAGGAGGCUGGAACCAUGAAAUAAAACCUUUGACCUCAAAUCGGGUGAGACUACCCGCUGAACUUAAGCAUAUCAAUAA